rnacentral:rRNA from 1 species
UGGUGGAGUGAUUUGUCUGGUUAAUUCCGUUAACGAACGAGACCUCGACCUGCUAAAUAGAGCGCCUGAAUCCUUGUGGUUCGGGUUGCGACUUCUUAGAGGGACUAUCGGUGUGUAGCCGAUGGAAGUUCGAGGCAAUAACA